rnacentral:rRNA from 1 species
ACGAACGCUGGCGGCAUGCCUAACACAUGCAAGUCGAACGAGACCUUCGGGUCUAGUGGCGCACGGGUACGUAACGCGUGGGAACCUGCCCUUAGGUUCGGAAUAACUCCCCGAAAGGGGUGCUAAUACCGGAUAAUGUCUUCGGACCAAAGAUUUAUCGCCUUUGGAUGGGCCCGCGUUGGAUUAGCUAGUUGGUAGGGUAAAAGCCUACCAAGGCGACGAUCCAUAGCUGGUCUGAGAGGAUGAUCAGCCACACUGGGACUGAGACACGGCCCAGACUCCUACGGGAGGCAGCAGUGGGGAAUAUUGGACAAUGGGCGAAAGCCUGAUCCAGCAAUGCCGCGUGAGUGAUGAAGGCCUUAGGGUUGUAAAGCUCUUUUACCCGGGAUGAUAAUGACAGUACCGGGAGAAUAAGCUCCGGCUAACUCCGUG